AGUGAACGCUGGCGGCAGGCCUAAUACAUGCAAGUCGAACGGCAGCACGGCAGAGCUUGCUCUGUGGGUGGCGAGUGGCGGACGGGUGAGGAAUACAUGGGAAUCUGCCCAGUCGUGGGGGAUAACGUAGGGAAACUUACGCUAAUACCGCAUGCGCCCUUCGGGGGAAAGCCGGGGACCUUCGGGCCUGGCGCGAUUGGAUGAGCCCAUGUCGGAUUAGCUAGUUGGCGGGGUAAUGGCCCACCAAGGCGACGAUCCGUAGCUGGUCUGAGAGGAUGAUCAGCCACACUGGAACUGAGACACGGUCCAGACUCCUACGGGAGGCAGCAGUAGGGAAUAUUGGACAAUGGGCGCAAGCCUGAUCCAGCCAUGCCGCGUGAGUGAAGAAGGCCCUCGGGUUGUAAAGCUCUUUUGUCCGGAAAGAAAAGCGCCGGGUUAAUACCCUGGUGUCCUGACGGUACCGGAAGAAUAAGCACCGGCUAACUACGUG
rnacentral:rRNA from 1 species